rnacentral:lncRNA from 1 species
GUUCUGAUGCAAUUUCAUGUUGAAUUGAGUAUGCUAUAGUGAAAUGUAAAUACUCCUUUAAUAUUUAUAACAAUUCCUGUGAUUAUUCAUUGCAUUUUUGGAUGAAACUUACGUUUAACUCUGUAGAAGCAGCAUUCUCUAAUGGAGAACUAUCCCAUGGGGAAAUUUCUAGAGAGCUCAACUGAUUAUGGAAUAUUGAGCUGUAGUAAUUAAUUUCCUUGUCUUUCCCCUCAUUUGUCCUUUAGAUGUAGGAAUUCAAAGCUAAUUCAGCCACCACUUUCUUGGUGGUUCCAGUGAAUACAGCUGUUGCUGGUUUGGACAGCUGUGGAGGGGACUAAUAGCUGAAUGAUGAUCUUCUGUAUGAGCUGGUUUUAUGUUCCUUUGAAGCUAUAUUAAAAGACAAUAGUAGAACUUCAAUAAUUUCCUCGCAAGCCCAACUAAUGAUCAUCAAAGAAGUAAAGAUGCCCCAAGAAACAAGACUCGUUGUCCUAUGUCUGCUUAAUGAGAAAUCGUAAUCCAUCUGGUUAUAAAACCUCAGCAGAAUACCAUACAAUGUAUCUCUUGGCUAAACAUAUGUUGUUGUUCAACUUUUAAGAAGAGCUAAAGAUCAAGGAAUUAGCAUGAAAAAUGUUCUAAAUUACGUCAUGACUGAAGAUUUUGCAAAUUUUCUCCCCUCUGAAGUUUACAAAAUGAUGUUUGCUAUUGUCACUUUGGAUUCUGCUGAAAUUGCAGGAUAUGUUUUGCACCAUUGCUGCUGCAGAGAAGAGCUCUGGAAGAGCUGUGCCAUGGCAGAUGUCUGAAGGAGAGAUUCCAUAUGGUUAGCUGUUGAUCAGUUUGGCUGCUGGACUGACGGAAGCAUGACAGGCCAUUCUCAAGUUCUUGCAUGAUGUGGCUGUUCUCCAGAGGCCCUCUGGCUGCCUCUGGAUGUGACACCAGCUUUAACUGAAGAAGCCCAACACUUUAGCAAAAAUGUGAGCCUCAGCUGGAAACUUGGCAAGAGAGUUCAAAACUGCUUCUUAAGCUAAGGCUGAGGUGAUUGUUAAACAAAAAGUAGCCUAACAGACAUUUUUUCAUGACUUUUUAUCUUGCAGAGGCUGGCAGAAAGAUUGCAGAAAGAGGAUAGCCUAGGAAGUUGAACUCAAAGCCAAUUUGAAGUCUAAAAUAAUUUGAUGUAUAUAUGGAAUGCAUAUAUAUGCCCAUGCAUAUUUAUAUGUCUGUUGAUGCUUAGCAUUUAAAUUUUUUUUUGGAGGAGGGUUUAUGACAUAGAACCUUUUAAUAGAAAGUGUUUAAUCAUG